rnacentral:rRNA from 1 species
AACCUGCCUUUGAGAAGGGGAUAACUGUCCGAAAGGAUAGCUAAUACCCUAUAUUGCCUUUUGUCACUAAGGCAAAAGGUGAAAGCGAGGCUGUCAAAGGCUUCGACUCAAAGAAGGGUUCGCGUCCUAUCAGGUAGUUGGUGGGGUAAUGGCCUACCAAGCCAAUGACGGGUAGCUGGUCUUAGAGGAUGAUCAGCCACAGUGGGACUGAGACACGGCCCGCACCCCUACGGGGGGCAGCAGUGGGGAAUCGUGGGCAAUGGGCGCAAGCCUGACCCCGCAAUGCCGCGUGGAGGAAGAAGCCCUUCGGGGUGUAAACCUCUGUCAGAUGGGAAGAUGAGACUAGGAGCUAAUACCUCCUGGUCUUGACGGUACCAUCAGAGGAAGGGACGGCUA